rnacentral:rRNA from 1 species
GAUGAACGCUGGCGGCGUGCCUAAUACAUGCAAGUCGAGCGAACAGACGAGGAGCUUGCUCCUCUGACGUUAGCGGCGGACGGGUGAGUAACACGUGGAUAACCUACCUCUAAGACUGGGAUAACUUCGGGAAACCGGAGCUAAUACCGGAUAAUAUAUUGAACCGCAUGGUUCAAUAGUGAAAGACGGUUUUGCUGUCACUUAUAGCUGGAUCCGCGCCGCAUUAGCUAGUUGGUAAGGUAACGGCUUACCAAGGCGACGAUGCGUAGCCGACCUGAGAGGGUGAUCGGCCACACUGGAACUGAGACACGGUCCAGACUCCUACGGGAGGCAGCAGUAGGGAAUCUUCCGCAAUGGGCGAAAGCCUGACGGAGCAACGCCGCGUGAGUGAUGAAGGUCUUCGGAUCGUAAAACUCUGUUAUUAGGGAAGAACAAAUGUGUAAGUAACUAUGCACGUCUUGACGGUACCUAAUCAGAAAGCCACGGCUAACUACGUG